AUACGGAGGAUGCAAGCGUUAUCCGGAUUUAUUGGGUUUAAAGGGUGCGUAGGCGGAUGAUUAAGCGUGAGGUGAAAUGCCACUGCUCAACAGUGGAACUGCCUCCCGAACUGGUUGUCUUGAAUGCUCCUGCCGUGGGAGGAAUGUGUGGUGUAGCGGUGAAAUGCAUAGAGAUCACACAGAACACCGAUUGCGAAGGCAUCUCACGAAGGGGUGAUUGACGCUGAGGCACGAAAGCGUGGGGAUCAAACAGGAUUAGAUACCCUGGUAGUCCUCGCAGUAAACGAUGAUAACUAUCCGCUGGGUCGUAGUGAUUCAGUGGCCAAGCGAAAGCGAUAAGUUAUCCACCUGGGGAGUACGACCGCAAGGUUGAAACUCAAAUGAAUUGGCGGGG
rnacentral:rRNA from 1 species